rnacentral:rRNA from 1 species
CAGCCGCCGCGGUAAAACGUAGGGGGCAAGCGUUGUCCGGAAUCAUUGGGCGUAGAGCGCGUGUAGGCGGCUUGGUAAGUCCGGUGUGAAACCUUGGGGCUCAACCCCAAGCCUGCACUGGAUACUGCCUCGCUUGAGUCCGGGAGGGGAGAGCGGAAUUCCUAGUGUAGCGGUGAAAUGCGCAGAUAUUAGGAAGAACACCGGUGGCGAAGGCGGCUCUCUGGAACGGUACUGACGCUGAGACGCGAAAGCGUGGGGAGCGAACGGGAUUAGAGACCCCAGUAGUCCCUGUCUCUUAUAC